rnacentral:rRNA from 1 species
UACAGAGGGGGCAAGCGUUGUUCGGAAUUACUGGGCGUAAAGGGCGCGUAGGCGGCCCGCUAAGUCGAACGUGAAAUCCCCGGGCUCAACCCGGGAACUGCGUCCGAUACUGGUGGGCUUGAAUCCGGGAGAGGGAUGCGGAAUUCCAGGUGUAGCGGUGAAAUGCGUAGAUAUCUGGAGGAACACCGGUGGCGAAGGCGGCAUCCUGGACCGGCAUUGACGCUGAGGCGCGAAAGCUAGGGGAGCAAACGGG